CUGUCUAGUAUAGCAUUAUACCGUGAAACUGCGAAUGGCUCAUUAAAUCAGUUAUCGUUUAUUUGAUAGUACCUUACUACUUGGAUAACCGUGGUAAUUCUAGAGCUAAUACAUGCUGAAAACCCCGACUUCGGAAGGGGUGUAUUUAUUAGAUAAAAAACCAACGCCCUUCGGGGCUUCUUGGUGAUUCAUAAUAACUUUACGGAUCGCAUGGCCUUGCGCCGGCGACGGUUCAUUCAAAUUUCUGCCCUAUCAACUUUCGAUGGUAAGGUAUUGGCUUACCAUGGUUUCAACGGGUAACGGGGAAUUAGGGUUCGAUUCCGGAGAGGGAGCCUGAGAAACGGCUACCACAUCCAAGGAAGGCAGCAGGCGCGCAAAUUACCCAAUCCCGACACGGGGAGGUAGUGACAAUAAAUACUGAUACAGGGCUCUUUUGGGUCUUGUAAUUGGAAUGAGUACAAUUUAAACCUCUUAACGAGGAACAAUUGGAGGGCAAGUCUGGUGCCAGCAGCCGCGGUAAUUCCAGCUCCAAUAGCGUAUAUUAAAGUUGUUGCAGUUAAAAAGCUCGUAGUUGAAACUUGGGUCUGGCUGGCAGGUCCGCCUCACCGCGUGUACUUGUCCGGCCGGGCCUUCCUUCUGGAGAACCUCAUGCCCUUCACUGGGCGUGUUGGGGACCAGGACUUUUACUUUGAAAAAAUUAGAGUGUUCAAAGCAGGCCUUUGCUCGAAUACGUUAGCAUGGAAUAAUAGAAUAGGACGUGCGUUCCUAUUUUGUUGGUUUCUAGGAACGCCGUAAUGAUUAAUAGGGACAGUCGGGGGCAUCAGUAUUCAAUUGUCAGAGGUGAAAUUCUUGGAUUUAUUGAAGACUAACUACUGCGAAAGCAUUUGCCAAGGAUGUUUUCAUUAAUCAGUGAACGAAAGUUAGGGGAUCGAAGACGAUCAGAUACCGUCGUAGUCUUAACCGUAAACUAUGCCGACUAGGGAUCGGGCGAUGUUCUUUUUUCUGACUCGCUCGGCACCUUACGAGAAAUCAAAGUUUUUGGGUUCUGGGGGGGAGUAUGGUCCGCAAGGCUGAACUA
rnacentral:rRNA from 1 species